UCUCAGGUAAUGCUACAGUAACUCUCAGGUAACUCUACAUUGACUCUCAUGUAACGUUACAUUAACUCUCAGGUAACUCUACAAUAACUCUCAAGUAACUCUAAAAUAACUGUCAGGUAACUCUAUAAUAACUCUCAGGUAAUGCUACAGUAACUCUCAGGUAACUCUACAUUGACUCUCAUAACUCCCCAUUAACUCUCAGGUAACUACAAUAACUCUCAGGUAACUCUACAAUAACUCUCAGGUAAUGCUACAGUAACUCUUAGGUAACUCUACAUUGACUCUCAUAACUCCCCAUUAACUCUCAGGUAACUACAAUAACUCUCAGGUAACUCUACAUUAACUCUUGUGUAACUCUACAUUGACUAUCAUAACUCCCCAUUAACUCUCAGGUAACUACAAUAACUCUCAGGUAACUCUACAUUAACUCUCAGGUAACUCUACAUUGACUCUCAUAACUCCCCAUUAACUCUCAGGUAACUACAAUAACUCUCAGGUAACUCUACAUUAACUCUCAAAUUACUCUACAAUAACUCUCAGGUAACUCUACAUUGACUCUCAUAACUCCCCAUUAACUCUCAGGUAACUACAAUAACUCUCAGGUAACUCUACAUUAACUCUCAAAUUACUCUACAAUAACUCUCAGGUAACUCUACAAUAACUCUCAGGUAAUGCUACAGUAACUCUUAGGUAACUCUACAUUGACUCUCAUAACUCCCCAUUAACUCUCAGGUAACUACAAUAACUCUCAGGUAACUCUACAUUAACUCUCAGGUAACUCUACAUUGACUCUCAUAACUCCCCAUUAACUCUCAGGUAACUACAAUAACUCUCAGGUAACUCUACAUUAAC